UGGACUUUAUUUGGGAGACGUGGAGUGGAUAAAUAAAGGCACAGUGUCAGAAGUGUUUUAUCCCAUGGUUGUAUCUCUAGGCCGUUUUAUUUCCUGGCCAAAGACAGGGAAAGGCAUGCAGUGUGUGUCUAGGUUGAUUCAGAGCUGAGCUGAAUAGACUGAUAAAUCUGCCCGACCUCCUGCCUGGGGAACCGAGGUAACAGCUGCGUAGACAUUAACACACCGGGAAACAGUCUACUCCCUAGCACUGAGUGAAGACCCAUGGAAAAGACAUGGGCAGCUGAAUCUACUGUAGCCAUUUCUGACUCUGCAAGACUGUCAAGCUCACCACUGAAUAAUAUAAAACCUGCAUUUGCCAAAUCUCUCGCUUACAUGCCAGAUGGAGGAAAACUGCCACCGUGUCUGAUUUGUAAGCUCGAGUAUCUGAUCAGAGGGAAAAAAAAUCAUUAUACUUGUGACGAAGAAUGGAAAGAACCAUAUCAUGAUCCACGGAGGGUGAACUUAUGGAGGAAGAAAAAAAGAGGAA